rnacentral:rRNA from 1 species
GGGGAUAACCCGCCGAAAGGCGGGCUAAUACCGAAUGACAUCUUGAAAACUUAUGUUUUCAAGAUCAAAGGUGGCCUCUACAUGUAAGCUAUUGUUUGGGGAUGAGCCCGCGUACCAUUAGCUUGUUGGUAGGGUAAUGGCCUACCAAGGCUACGAUGGUUAGCUGGUCUGAGAGGAUGAUCAGCCACACUGGAACUGACACACGGUCCAGACUCCUACGGGAGGCAGCAGUGAGGAAUUUUGCGCAAUGGGGGAAACCCUGACGCAGCAACGCCGCGUGAGUGAUGAAGGCUUUCGGGUCGUAAAGCUCUGUCAAGUGGGAAGAAAUCAUAUGGUGUUAAUACUGCCAUAUAUUGACGGUACCACUGAAGGAAGCACCGGCUAACUCCGUGCCAGCAGCCGCGGUAAUACGGGGGGUGCGAGCGUUAUUCGGAAUUACUGGGCGUAAAGAGCGCGUAGGCGGUCUUUUAAGUCAGGUGUGAAAGCCCGGGGCUCAACCCCGGAAGUGCACUUGAAACUAAGAGACUUGAGUAUGGGAGAGGGAAGUGGAAUUCCUGGUGUAGCGGUGAAAUGCGUAGAUAUCAGGAGGAACAUCGGUGGCGAAGGCGACUUCCUGGACCAAUACUGACGCUGAGGCGCGAAGGCGUGGGCAGCAAACAGGAUUAGAUACCCUGGUAGUCCACGCAGUAAACGGUGAACACUAGGUGUAGCGGGUAUUGACCCCUGCUGUGCCGCAGCAAACGCAUUAAGUGUUCCGCCUGGGGAGUACGGCCGCAAGGUUAAAACUCAAAGGAAUUGACGGGGCCCGCACAAGCGGUGGAGCAUGUGGUUUAAUUCGACGCAACGCGAAGAACCUUACCUAGGUUUGACAUCCCGGGAAUUCUGUGGAAACACGGAAGUGCCCUUCGGGGAGCCCGGUGAUAGGUGCUGCAUGGCUGUCGUCAGCUCGUGUUUUGAGAUGUUGGGUUAAGUCCCGCAACGAGCGCAACCCCUUUCUUUAGUUACCAUCAUUUAGUUGGGGACUCUAAAGAUACUGCCCCGGUUAACGGGGAGGAAGGUGGGGAUGACGUCAAGUCCUCAUGGCCUUUAUGCCUAGGGCUACACACGUGCUACAAUGGACUGUACAAAGGGUUGCCAGCCUGUGAAGGUGAGCCAAUCCCAUAAAGCAGUUCGUAGUUCGGAUUGGAGUCUGCAACUCGACUCCAUGAAGCUGGAAUCGCUAGUAAUCGUGGAUCAGAACGCCACGGUGAAUACGUUCCCGGGCCUUGUACACACCGCCCGUCACACCAUGAGAGUUGGUUGUACCAGAAGUCGUUGGGCAAACCUUUCGAGGACGCAGGCGCCUAAGGUAUGGCUGAUGAUUGGGGUGAAGUCGCAACAAGGUA